rnacentral:misc_RNA from 1 species
GAUGAAGAACGUAGCGAAAUGCGAUAAGUAAUGCGAAUUGCAGAAUUUCCGUGAGUCAUCGAAUCUUUGAACGCACAUUGCGCCCGCCAGUAUUCUGGCGGGCAUGCCUGUCCGAGCGUCAUUACAACCCUCAGGCCCCCGGGCCUGGCGUUGGGGAUCGGCGGAAGCCCCCUGCGGGCACAACGCCGUCCCCCAAAUACAGUGGCGGUCCCGCCGCAGCUUCCAUUGCGUAGUAGCUAACACCUCGCAACUGGAGAGCGGCGCGGCCACGCCGUAAAACACCCAACUUCUGAAUGUUGACCUCGAAUCAGGUAGGAAUACCCGCUGAACUUAAGCAUAUCAAUAAGCGGAGGA